UGCUUGGGAAUUUGCCUUGAGGUGGGGGACGAACAGUUGGAAACGACUGCUAAUAACCGCAUAUUGUCUACGGACUAAAGGGGCCUUCGGCGUCUACGCCUUUAGUAGAAGCCCGAAGUGGGAUUAGGUAGUUGGUGAGGUAAAGGUCUCACCAAGCCUACGAUCCCUAGCUGGUCUGAGAGGAUGAUCAGCCACGACUGGAACUGAGACGAACGGGUCCAGACUUCUACGGGAGGCAGCAGUGGGGAAUAUUGCACAAUGGGGGAAACCCUGAUGCAGCCAUGCCGCGUGUGUGAAGAA
rnacentral:rRNA from 1 species